AGUGAACGCUGGCGGUAGGCCUAACACAUGCAAGUCGAACGGAAGCACAGUUAGUGCCUGCUCUACUGGAUGGCGAGUCGCGGACGGGUGAGGAAUACAUUGGAAUCUACUCUUUCGUGGAGGCUAACGUAGGGAAACUUACGCCCAUAUCGCACACGACCUACGGGUGAAUGCUGGAGAUCUUUGUCCCUUGCGCGAUUGCUUGAGCCGAUGUCGGAUUAGCUAGGUGGCGGGGUCAAGGCCCACCACGGCGACGAUCCGUAGAUGGCGUGUGAGGAUGAUCGGCGACACUGGAACGGGGACACGCACCAGACGCCUGCGGGAGGCAGCAGUGGGGAAUAUGGGACAAUAGUGGCAAGCCUUAUCCAGCCAUACCACGUGGGUGAAGAAGACGUUGGGUUGGUAAAGCCGUUUUGUUGGUAAAGAAAAGCAGCAGGUUAAGACCCCGCGGAACUGACGGUACCCAGAGAAUAAGCACCGGCUAACUUCGCG
rnacentral:rRNA from 1 species